rnacentral:rRNA from 1 species
GACGAACGCUGGCGGCGUGCUUAACACAUGCAAGUCGAACGGAAAGGCCCUGCUUUUGUGGUGUGCUCGAGUGGCGAACGGGUGAGUAACACGUGAGUAACCUGCCCUUGACUUUGGGAUAACUUCAGGAAACUGGGGCUAAUACCGGAUAGGAGCUCCUGCUGCAUGGUGGGGGUUGGAAAGUUUCGGCGGUUGGGGAUGGACUCGCGGCUUAUCAGCUUGUUGGUGGGGUAGUGGCUUACCAAGGCUUUGACGGGUAGCCGGCCUGAGAGGGUGACCGGCCACAUGGGGACUGAGAGACGGCCCAGACGGCUACGGGAGACAGCAGUGGGAAAUAUGGCACAACGGGCGGGAGCCUGAUGCAGCAACGCCGCGUGCGGGAUGACGGCCUUCGGGGUGUAAACCGCUUUCGCCUGUGACGAAGCGUGAGUGACGGUAAUGGGUAAAGAAGCACCGGCUAACUACGUG